AUUGAACGCUAGCGGGAUGCCUUACACAUGCAAGUCGAACGGAGUGGCGAACGGGUGAGUAAUGUAUAGGAACGUGCCCAGUAGCGGGGGAUAACUACGCGAAAGCGUAGCUAAUACCGCAUACUAUUGGAGCGGCCGAUAUCGGAUGAGCUAUUUGGGGGGGGAAGGGCUCACCAAGGCGACGACCCGUAGCUGGUUUGGGAGGACGACCAGCCACACUGGUAAUGAGACACGGCCCAGACGCAUACGGUAGGCAGCCGGGGGGAAUCUUGGACAAUGGGGGAAACCCUGAUCCAGCCAUCCCGCGUGUGCGAUGAAGGCCUUCGGGUUGUAAAGCACUUUUAGCAGGAAGGCGGUACCUGCAGAAUAAGCACCGGCUAACUCCAUGCCAGCAGCCGCGGUAAUUC
rnacentral:rRNA from 1 species